ACAGAAAGAAGUUGUAUACGACUAAUUUAGGGAGACAUAAACAACACAUAAGUGCUAAUAACUGUAUGUUACUAAAGCUUUCACAGCUGUUGAUGCA